AUUGAACGCUGGCGGCAGGCCUAACACAUGCAAGUCGAACGAGUGGCGGACGGGUGAGUAAUGUCUGGAAAACUGCCUGAUGGAGCGGGAUAACUACUGUACACGGUAACUAAUACCACCUACCAUCGGAUGUGCCCAGAUGGGAUUAGCUAGUAGGUGGGGUAAAGGCUCACCUAGGAGACGAUCCCUAGCUGGUCUUAGAGGAUGACCAGCAACACUGGAACUGAGACACGGUCCAGACUCCUACGGGAGGCAGCAGUGGGGAAUAUUGCACAAUGGGCGCAAGCCUGAUGCAGCCAUGCCGCGUGUAUGAAGAAGGCCCUAGGGGUGGAAAGGACUUUCAGCCGGGAGGCGUUACCGACAGAAGAAGCACCGGCUAACUCCGUGCCAGCAGCCGCGGUAAUUC
rnacentral:rRNA from 1 species